rnacentral:rRNA from 1 species
UACGAAGGUGGCAAGCGUUACUCGGAAUUACUAGGCGUAAAGCGCAGGUAGGUGGCUUGGUAAGUCUGCUGUGGAAGCUCCUGGCUUAACUGGGAGAGGUCAGCAGAAACUGCCAAGCUUGAGUGUGGGAGAGGGUACUGGAAUUCCCGGUGUAGCGGUGAAAUGCGUAGAUAUCUGGAGGAACACCGGUGGCGAAGGCGACGUCCUGGACCGGCAUUGACGCUGAGGCGCGAAAGCCAGGGGAGCAAACGGG